GACGAACUGACCAGGGGAAAACGGUGCCAGACAUCCGGCCAGAAAACAUUGUUGGACUCCAAACUACUGCCGACUGCUGGCCGGGAGAAAAGCUGCGGUCAGAGACUUUGGAGUUGGAGGAGGAUCGGAGGAGACUCAUGCAGAAUGGUACCAAGACGGGAUUCGAACCAAAGACCUUCUUGCUGCAAAGCAACCGUGCUUGAUUUUGAUAUUGAUUAAAUAUUUUUGACUAUAUAAUGAAGCUAAGUUGGUUUCACAUAGUUAAAAUUGAACAUAUAAAUGACCCUAAAGAUGUAAUUCUGUCCUUUUUUUUAUGGUGAUUCUGUGUGUAAUUAUUAAGAAAUAGGACUUUGUUUGAUGCCUCAUAACUCACCCUAGGUCUCAUUUCAUGCCAUUGGUUAUUUUCUCUAAAUAGCAAUGAACAGCAGGAAUAUUUUUGAUACUUAAGUGCUUCUGUGAACAGGUAAGGACAGAUAUGUGCUGUAUAAAACAUGUUAAUUACAUUUUUUACACAAAAUCAUUCUUAGAUAAUGAGAUUUUAGUCUUAUUUUGUGCUCCUUUCAGAAUUAGCAGUUUUAGAGCCUCUUUUCACUUUAAAUCUAAAUAAACUGCUGCUGGCCACGCCCCUCCAACUCAACCUUUAUUAAACUCACAAUUGUACGGACACGGCCGUACAUCUUUUACCCUGAAUCAGACUCAGAAGCAGAAGUAAAGACUCAUGAACAACUAUUAAGAAAGUAGCAAGAGAUUUCUGAAUGGUAAGUCAAUAACAAAACACCUGUCUUUUAUAGCACCCGUUGAAUACAGCGGUAAAACCAGUUAGCUAGCUUGCUGCUCGUCUGUGGGUGGCGCUCCGCUUGGGUUGCUAAGUGAUGGACUGGGCUCGUCUGGGGUUGCUAGGUAACGGGCAGUGCUUGCCCAGCCACUGUGACUUGAUAAUUAUAAAGUUUUUAAAACGACCUGUUGUCCAACCACCUAAAAAUAUUAAAUUAUUACCAUAAAACAGUA